rnacentral:rRNA from 1 species
GACAGAGGUGCCGAGCGUUAGGCGGAAUCACUGGGCUUAAAGCGUGUGUAGGCGGAUUGGUAAGUACCUUGUGAAAUCCCACGGCUUAACCGUGGAACUGCUUGGUAUACUGCUUAUCUUGGGCCACUUAGGGGCUACCGGAACAAACGGUGGAGCGGUGAAAUGCGUAGAUAUCGUUUGGAACGCCAAUGGUGAAAACAGGUAGCUGGGAGUGUGCCGACGCUGAGACACGAAAGCCAGGGGAGCGAACGGGG